CUUCUUUGGAUGGAGAAUCCUUGUUCAUAUUUGUGUCUGUACUAUCCUUUCGUGGUAUUGAAUGGUUAAUUUGUGAAAUGAAUUUGUAUUGCUCUAUAAUAUUCAUUUAGUUGUUGAAUGAUAUUUUACGAUUUUUCCCUUUUUUCUUUAUUCAUAUUUGUUAAUGAUUGAAAAUACUUUGUCAAAUUAGCAAUUUUCUGAUUGCAUUUGUCUGUUGUUUCUCAAAACAAUUUACAUUUUUUUUCUGUUCAUAUUUUAUUUCUCUUCUUAUAGGAGUAUUCGUAUUUGUUCUGGUUAUAAUUUUUGUAACUCUACCUAUUUUAAAUUAUUCUGUAAAUCUAAGGAGAUUAAACAUUGUUUUAUAUUACAUAAUAAAUUACAUUGUCAGUGAAACUAUACAUAUCACUAAUUCUUGUAAAUCUGUAAGAAUUAUCCUUAACUUAUAUACAUAUAUGAUAUUUGUUACCAAGUUGCGAUGCACUAUUAUAUGGUGUUGAAAGACUCAGAUCUGAAAAGUUUUGAGUCAUAGCCAUUAACAAGAUCAAAUGUGAAUGAUCUCUAGGUAUUUGCCACAUGAAAGACAUUGCAUACCGAUUGGGACCAUAAUUUCCUAAUAAAUUCUAUGGAUUUACUGUGAACACUUUUGUCAAUACAUUACCUGAUAACCCACCAAUGAAAAUAUGAGAACAAUAUUCUAUUUAAACAUUUGAAUCAUAGACUUCUAUGCUUACCAGAAACUACUAUGCAAGUUAAAUGCAUGGGUUAACUGGUUGUAAAUUACAUUGACCUAACCGAGUACGCCAAUAGCAGAUUCAAGAAGAAACAAAAUCACCCUUUAUUUUUGCAUUUUAAAUAGCGAAGAUACCAGACUUUUAACAUUGCGAUACAACAUUGUUACACUUGAUUUAGAGCUCCUUUAGUAACCCUUAACAAUUGAAAUUAAACUAAUUGAAUUAUGGAGGAUGCUUAGUGUUUGAUUUAAUAAUAGAGCUUUAUGAGGCUUAGUAAAAAGUAUAAACCUUAUUGACAUUAGGAAUUUAAAUCAGAUUGUGAGAGAGUCAACGACACAUUGAAUAAUAUCAUGGAAAGUCGUCGUUAUUAUGCUCAAAACUUUUAUCUCAAAUUAUAGUAAAUUUCUAAUUCUAAAUAGUCUAAACUAUAUAUAAUAACCACAAUAAUAAUUCACUUAUAUCUUAUUUAUUUGUGAAAAUGAAGUUAAUAAGUCACUUAUAUAAAUGAAAAACACUAUUAACUAGACUCAGUAUAGUUCAUAGUUUUGUAUGUUAUAUAAGGAUUCAACUUAGGUGCAGUAUUUUAGGUAUUGGUACUGACACCUAAUUGUAACGUAACAAAGUGUAUAAAAAGUUACAGCUAUAUCCAUCCAAUACCUAAUUGUAACAUAACAAAUUGUAUAAAAAGUUACAGCUAUAUCCAUCCAAUUAGAUCUCUUUAUUUCUCACUGUUGAAGAAAUGAGAAAGAUUAAAGAACUAUAUUGUUUGAGUUUUGUUGAAUGGAGAAAAAUGAAUAAGAGGACUUUAAUAGUGAGA
rnacentral:sRNA from 1 species